CACUCGCUGUUAUCCAGACAAACCAUCCCUGCGGGACCGGAUGCUGGAAGAAGCCACCACACACCAAGCAAAUUGCAUUGGUUUUCUUUCCACAUCACCCACGUGUGUUCCAGAACUGAACAAGGGGUUGGUAUGAAGAAAUCCACGUUUCCUUGCUAUAAAUGCCCCCCACCCCAGGGCCAGCAGUGCCUGUGGCAGGACUGAGCCCGGGUCCAAACAGCACAAGGGGUCGUGCACUUUUGGUACCUACCUGAGGACAGAUGGGGUUUGGCAUCGAGCAUGAAGUGAGUGCAUCUGCCCUUAAACUGCUUUACGUAUAAACACACUCUGGCUGUAGCUCCAGUGCAAAAGGAGCUGGCAGACACCGGGUGCAGUGUGUGAGGUGACCGGAUCAGCAGGCACAGGAUGUGGGAGAUGGAUGGAGCUUCUUCAAGCCAAAUGGUCAAAAGCAGUACCACGACUCACUGAGCCAGUUCUUUGCAAUGAGGUGCUUGCUUGUGGACAAAGCUUCUGAUGCCACGGAGGAAUCACGGCCCUUUCCUGCAGGCAACAGCACUGCCCUGCAAAACAGGCUGGGGGCUUCCAGUCCUUGGGAUGUUUCCAAGGCCCUGCUCUGGAAUCAGCACUGAGCAGCACCGAGCCCCAUGACAGCAGGAUGUGGAGAGAGGAAAAGCCCCCAACAACGUCAGACCCCAAACCAGCCACACUUUGGACUUCAGGAGAAGUCACCUGCAGGUAGAACAUUCUCCAGCCUAUAGAGAGCUGCCAGCAUGAUGAGGCCUACACCACCAAUGUUGCUGACAUAAAGAUCAACUGUGAAGCUCCUCGGGGUGCUCCUGAUUUAGAGGCUGCAGAGCUAAAGGAGACAAGUCACACUGGCCUGGAGUUCAACAAAUUAACCCAAACAACUGUAUGAGUCUGUGAAAUUGGGCCCACACCUGAUCGUGCAGGAAUUCUAUUCAAUGUAACUCAUCUGAUCUAAACACAGUUACUCCUAAAGUGACAGAACAAAGCCACAAUUGGUAGGAGUGAGCGACCAGAGGCAUCAGGUGAGGUCAUACCACUAAAUCUUUGUAUAAUCCUUCUCUCAUAUCUAAUAGACUCACAUAAGUUCUCCCUAUCUCUCAGCUACCUCCUCCAGCUGCCCUCUUGCUAACUUAGUAACCCUCAAAUCCAGCACUGAGGGCAAAGUGUAGAACCAGCAGAGUGGUGACAGGCUCCUCACCUGCUUCAUCCUGUCUGGGAGCAACAAGCUACAAUUUCUACAUCAUUUUGCAUUCAACAUUCGAUUCAUGAGCAGAGACAAACCAAACUACUGCACACACACAGGCACAAACACACACACACUGUUUUAUUCCAACAGCACACGCAGACUUUGGAACUAUAACAAGAUCUUUUGGGGGGAU